rnacentral:RNase_P_RNA from 1 species
CCAGAGGGUUGGGCGGCCGCGUUGCACUUCGGUGCACCGAGGAAAGUCCGGGCUCCACGGGAAUACGGUGCCGGGUAACGCCCGGCGGGGGUGACCCCAGGGAAAGUGCCACAGAGAGCAGACCGCCCACUGGUCCCCAAGUCUUCGGACGGCGGGAUUGAGGGCAAGGGUGAAAGGGUGCGGCAAGAGCGCACCGCGGACCUGGCAACAGGAACGGCAUGGCAAACCCCACCGGGAGCAAGACCGAAUAGGGACGGCAUAUGAGGUGUUCCGCCUCGUCGUCCGGGUUGGUUGCUUGAGGGGCGGAGCGAUCCGUCUCCUAGAGGAAUGGCCGCACAUCGCUUUAGGGCGAGGACAGAACCCGGCUUAUAGACCCUCUGGCACU